GUAGCUGGUCUGAGAGGAUGACCAGCCACACUGGAACUGAGACACGGUCCAGACUCCUACGGGAGGCAGCAGUGGGGAAUAUUGGACAAUGGGGGCAACCCUGAUCCAGCAAUGCCGCGUGUGUGAAGAAGGCCUGAGGGUUGUAAAGCACUUUCAGUGGGGAGGAGGGUUGAUUGUUUAAGAGAUGAUUAACUGGACGUUACCCACAGAAGAAGCACCGGCUAACUCCGUGCCAGCAGCCGCGGUAAUACGGAGGGUGCGAGCGUUAAUCGGAAUUACUGGGCGUAAAGGGUGCGUAGGUGGUUAAUUAAGUUAUGUGUAAAAUCCCUGGGCUCAACCUGGGCAGGUCAUAUAAUACUGGUURACUCGAGUAUGG
rnacentral:rRNA from 1 species